GCAGUAGCCGCGGGAAUACAGAGGGUGCGAGCGUUAAUCGGAUUUACUGGGCGUAAAGCGUGCGUAGGCGGCUUUUUAAGUCGGAUGUGAAAUCCCUGAGCUUAACUUAGGAAUUGCAUUCGAUACUGGGAAGCUAGAGUAUGGGAGAGGAUGGUAGAAUUCCAGGUGUAGCGGUGAAAUGCGUAGAGAUCUGGAGGAAUACCGAUGGCGAAGGCAGCCAUCUGGCCUAAUACUGACGCUGAGGUACGAAAGCAUGGGGAGCAAACAGGAUUAGAGACCCCUGUAGUCCCUGUCUCUUAUAC
rnacentral:rRNA from 1 species